rnacentral:lncRNA from 1 species
AGAAGCACUUCUGUAGGUGCCUUGCAGGAGGUAAUUUGACUAUUCUCUAGGGACUCAGCAGAUGCUCCUAAGAGAUUCAGAAAAGGAUCCAAAUACCGAGGAGAGGUAGAGAGACUCAGAAGUAGCAGAGCUAUCAUAGAAGAAGCCUCGUAGGAGAGAAAUCCUUUAUCAUCGUCUCUAUCAAAACCGACGCACAGCAGCAAAGAAGAUUGUCACCAGGUGCAUCGGAAAAUCAGGGACAGAAGAAACAGGGGAGACUCAAAAAGAAUGCAAACUUUAUUAUUAUCGUUGCCAGCAGCAAACCAAAGAAACACCAAACGGCCAAAAAAUAAACCAACCCGAUCAGUCCUCAGACAAUAGCAAACAGCCAAAUAACGAAACAACCUUAUAGCAGCCAAAUGAAACCAGUAGUGGGGACUCCGAAAACUUGAAUCAAAUGAGUAAUCACAAGCAAUCAACCCAAAUAUUUCAUUAUUGUCUCCACCGGCAUAGAGAACUAGAAAAAUGUAGUUAGUUGUUAUAUAAGGCACCAAAAUCAGCCCACAUCCGAGAGAAGCCAGCUAGCUCCUUGAAGGAAGCAAGGAUGGACCAUUCUGUAGUGAGAGAGAGAGCUUUGGCAAUAACAUCCUAAGGAGAUCCAAAUUUUUGGAGAAAAAUGCAAGCAUUUUGCUCAGUCUAAAUAGACCAGCAGACAGCAGCCAUCAGG